UCGAGCGACGAUGUAGAAGCUUGCUUCUCUGAUGUUAGCGGCGGACGGGUGAGUAACACGUGGGUAACCUACCUAUAAGACUGGGAUAACUCCGGGAAACCGGGGCUAAUACCGGAUAAUAUUUUGAACCGCAUGGUUCGAUAGUGAAAGACGGUU
rnacentral:rRNA from 1 species